GUGCCAGCAGCCGCGGUAAUACGUAGGGUGCGAGCGUUAAUCGGAAUUACUGGGCGUAAAGCGUGCGCAGGCGGUUUUGUAAGUCAGAUGUGAAAUCCCCGAGCUCAACUUGGGAACUGCGUUUGAAACUACAAGACUAGAAUAGGUCAGAGGGGGGUAGAAUUCCACGUGUAGCAGUGAAAUGCGUAGAGAUGUGGAGGAAUAUCAAUGGCGAAGGCAGCCCCCUGGGAUCAUAUUGACGCUCAUGCACGAAAGCGUGGGGAGCAAACAGGAUUAGAUACCCUGGUAGUCC
rnacentral:rRNA from 1 species